rnacentral:tRNA from 1 species
GGGGUUGUAUCUCAGUGACAGAACACUUGCCUAGCAUGUAUGAGGCACUGGGUUCAAUCCUCAGCAACACCA